rnacentral:misc_RNA from 1 species
AGAAGCAGGCGAAUCGCGAGACGUAUCGAUUUUAUGAUCGUGUCUCGCGGUUAGUGUGUCCGUUUCCUUAGUUUUUAGUGGCUGUGCAUCCUCCUCUUACAUGGAUAAAAUCGUGAAUGGGAUUAUUUACUAGGUGGAUUUUGCUCUACGCCCAGUGACUCGCGACACGUGAUAAAACAUGACCAAGGAUAGAUUAGCGGCCCUCGUCGCGGCUCAGUCGGACGAUGACGACGUGGCGGACGAGGUGUCCGUCAACGUGGGAGGGCAGGAUGAUUUCAUGACGGAAUUCUUCGCGGAGGUGGAGGAAAUUCGCGAAAUGAUAGACAAGAUCCAGACGAAUGUUGAAGAAGUCAAGAAGAAACACAGCGCCAUCCUGUCGGCGCCGCAGACAGAUGAAAAGGUGAAAAUGGAACUCGAAGAUCUGAUGGCUGAUAUAAAGAAAACUGCCAACAAAGUUCGGGCCAAGUUAAAGGUGAUAGAGCAAAACAUCGAGCAGGAAGAACAUACGAACAAAUCGUCGGCAGACCUAAGGAUACGCAAGACGCAACAUUCGACGUUGUCAAGGAAAUUCGUCGAGGUGAUGACUGAAUACAAUCGUACGCAGACCGAUUAUCGAGAGCGAUGUAAGGGAAGGAUACAACGGCAGCUUGAAAUCACGGGGAGAACGACGACUAAUGAAGAACUUGAAGAAAUGUUGGAACAAGGAAACCCAGCUGUCUUUACGCAGGGGAUCAUUAUGGAGACGCAACAAGCGAAACAGACGCUGGCAGACAUCGAAGCUCGACACGCUGACAUCAUUAAAUUAGAAAACUCCAUCAGGGAACUCCAUGAUAUGUUCAUGGAUAUGGCUAUGUUAGUCGAAAGUCAGGGAGAGAUGAUAGAUCGCAUAGAAUACCACGUGGAACAUGCCGUUGACUACGUUCAGACUGCCACGCAGGACACCAAAAAAGCACUCAAGUAUCAAAGCAAAGCUCGACGGACGAAAAUCAGCUAGCCGAAUUCCUCAGUCUGGAAACAACCGCGCGGUAGUGCGGACGUAUGAGAAUCGCGCUCCGCAGAUUUCGAGUACCGGGUUCUCUACCUCCUGCAUCCUGCGCUUCCUGAUGAAACUGGACUUCCAGGACAACCGCUCCGUAGUUCCUGCGCUCAACGUCCACUACCUGGUGAAACUUAACUUCCAGGAAAAGCGCUCCGUGGUUCCUGCGCUCCAGGUCCUCUACCCGGCGAAACUCGACUUCAAGAAGAGGACAAAGAGGACCGGGAGGUGGAGAAAGACAUGGAGAACAACGAGGACGGGGUGGACGAGGAGGAUUUUUCGCGCCAGCCCUAAUUCGUAUUCGAGGUACAACCCGAGGUGGUUACCAGUGGUCUUUGGAGUUGUUUGGUGGUGGUUGUUGGUGAUAACGGUGGACGAAGAGGAGGACGAGGACGACGAGGAGAAUAUGGUGGACGAGGAGGACGAGGAUUUGUGAACGUAUUUGAGGUCUAACCCGAGGUGGGCAGCGGUGGUCAUUGGAGGUGGUUGGCAGUGGUUGCAAGUGAUCGAGGUGGACGAGCAGGAGGACUAGGAAGAGGAGGACGAGGAAGACGAGAAGAACUAGGUGGACGAGGAGGACGAGGAUUUGUGCACGGAUUCGAGUUGGACCUCGAGUUGGUUAGCGGUCGUCAUUGGAGGUGAUCGGAGGUGGUUAGGGGUAGCGGACCUGGGCGCGGAAACUAUGGAGCGCUUUUCUUGGAAGUUGAGUUUCACUAGGUAGUGGAACUGGAGUGCAGAAACUAUGCAGCGCUUGGUCAAGAGUCACCAGAUCAAGAACCUGGACAGCCAGAACCACGGACCGCUUGUCCAGGAAGUCGAGUUUCACCAGGUAGCGUACCUGGAGCGUAGGAAGUACUGAGCGCUUGUCCUGGAAAACGAGUUGCACCAAGAAGCCGACCCGGAGUGCAGGAUCCAGGAGGAGGAGAACCCGGUACUCGAAAUCUGCGAAGCGCGAUUCUCAUCCGUUCGCUCAACUGCGCCGUUGUUUCCAUACUGAUGAAUUCGGCUAGCUGAUAUUUCGAGAAAAAAAAUUUUGGGUGACGUCACUUUCUAAACAACCGAACUUUGGUUUCGUACUUUAAUACUACGUAUGAUGUAUGAUGAUGUAUGAUGUAUAAUGUAUGAUGUAUGAUCUAUGAUGUAUGAUAUGAUGUAUAAUGACUUAGUUUUACCGUUUUGGCCAAGGAAUACGCACUUUAUCUUUCCUGCCGAUUCCAGACUCAAGAGGCUAGGCCCUUCGAUGGUCAGCCUUUGACUAAAGACAUAUUCUUCAGUUAACGGGUUAGCUAAUAACGCUGCCGUUCUGCGACAG